rnacentral:lncRNA from 1 species
ACACACCGAUCCUUGCACCGAGAUUCUCCUUACGAGCAGCAGCAGCAGCAGCAGUCGGAGCAUCAGCAAUCCAGCCAUCAUGAUCAAGCUCCUGAUCCUCCUUGCCGUACUGGCCCUCUUCGCCGUCUCGUACACUAUUGCAGCACCACAGUACGUUGUACCGUACGGCUACCCGUACCACUAUGGCUACUACGGCGCAUACUACCCGCACGCCUACUACUACGGGCGCUGAACCAGCACCGAAGCCAGGGCAGCGACAGUUCGUGGCGAUUUCUUCGAAAGCAACUGAAAUUUCUUAACAAACUCCUUCAAGGCCAUGGGCACUUCUCAUGGUCACAACCAAGCCGCCCUAAGUCACUUCUGCUGUCCAGCGGAGCCCAAUGAAGUCCACUGUUCUAACGUCGACUCUUCUUCAAUCUUGGAUCUUGGUUCGGAAUUAAAACCAUUCUAACCAGACUGAA